rnacentral:rRNA from 1 species
GAUGAACGCUGGCGGCGUGCCUAAUACAUGCAAGUCGAGCGAACAGAUAAGGAGCUUGCUCCUUUGACGUUAGCGGCGGACGGGUGAGUAACACGUGGGUAACCUACCUAUAAGACUGGGAUAACUUCGGGAAACCGGAGCUAAUACCGGAUAACAUUUGGAACCGCAUGGUUCUAAAGUGAAAGAUGGUUUUGCUAUCACUUAUAGAUGGACCCGCGCCGUAUUAGCUAGUUGGUAAGGUAACGGCUUACCAAGGCAACGAUACGUAGCCGACCUGAGAGGGUGAUCGGCCACACUGGAACUGAGACACGGUCCAGACUCCUACGGGAGGCAGCAGUAGGGAAUCUUCCGCAAUGGGCGAAAGCCUGACGGAGCAACGCCGCGUGAGUGAUGAAGGGUUUCGGCUCGUAAAACUCUGUUAUUAGGGAAGAACAAACGUGUAAGUAACUGGGCACGUCUUGACGGUACCUAAUCAGAAAGCCACGGCUAACUACGUGC